rnacentral:rRNA from 1 species
GGAGGGUGCAAGCGUUGUCCGGAUUUAUUGGGUUUAAAGGGUGCGUAGGCGGCCGUUUAAGUCAGGGGUGAAAGACUGCAGCUUAACUGUAGCAGUGCCUUUGAUACUGAAUGGCUUGAGUACAGAUGAGGCCGGCGGAAUGGGUGGUGUAGCGGUGAAAUGCAUAGAUACCAUCCAGAACACCGAUUGCGAAGGCAGCCGGCUAAACUGUAACUGACGCUGAGGCACGAAAGCGUGGGGAUCGAACAGGAUUAGAUACCCUGGUAGUCCACGCUGUAAACGAUGAUCACUCGAUGUUAGGGAUAUACUCUUAGCGUCCAAGCGAAAGCGUUAAGUGAUCCACCUGGGGAGUACGCCCGCAAGGGUGAA